rnacentral:rRNA from 1 species
AGUGAACGCUGGCGGUAGGCCUAACACAUGCAAGUCGAACGGCAGCACAGUAAGAGCUUGCUCUUACGGGUGGCGAGUGGCGGACGGGUGAGGAAUACAUCGGAAUCUACUUUUUCGUGGGGGAUAACGUAGGGAAACUUACGCUAAUACCGCAUACGACCUACGGGUGAAAGCAGGGGAUCUUCGGACCUUGCGCGAUUGAAUGAGCCGAUGUCGGAUUAGCUAGUUGGCGGGGUAAAGGCCCACCAAGGCGACGAUCCGUAGCUGGUCUGAGAGGAUGAUCAGCCACACUGGACCUGAGACCCGGUCCAGACUCCUACGGGAGGCAGCAGUGGGGAAUAUUGGACAGUGGGCGCAAGCCUGAUCCAGCCAUACCGCGUGGGUGAAGAAGGCCUUCGGGUUGUAAAGCCCUUUUGUUGGGAAAGAAAAGCAGCAGGUUAAUACCCCGCUGUUCUGACGGUACCCAAAGAAUAAGCACCGGCUAACUUCGU